rnacentral:rRNA from 1 species
UCUGGUUGAUCCUGCCAGAGGUCACUGCUAUCGGGGUUCGAUUAAGCCAUGCGAGUUGAGAGGGUUUAGACCCUCAGCGGACUGCUCAGUAACACGUGGAUAACCUGCCCUAAGGUGGAGAAUAACCCCCCCGGGAAACUGGGGGGGAUAAUACUCCAUAGAUUAGAGAUACUGGAAUGUUCUUUAAUCGAAGUUGAGGCGCCUUAGGAUGGAUCUGCGGUCGAUUAGGUUGUUGUUGGGGUAACGGCCCAACAAGCCUGUAAUCGAUACGGGUUGUGGGAGCAAGAGCCCGGAGAUGGAAUCUGAGACACGAUUCCAGGCCCUACGGGGCGCAGCAGGCGCGAAAACUUUACAAUGCAGGAAACUGUGAUAAGGGAACCCCCCCGAGUGCCCGUAUACGCGGGCUGUCCAGGUGUUUAAAACGCAUCUGAAGAAAGGGCCGGGCAAGACCGGUGCCAGCCGCCGCGGUAAUACCGGCGGCUCGAGUGGUGGCCACUAUUAUUGGGCUUAAAGCGUCCGUAGCUGGACCCUUAAGUCUCUUGGGAAAUCCGCCGGCUUAACCGACGGGCGUCUAAGAGAUACUGGGGGUCUAGGGACCGGGAGAGGUGAGAGGUACUCCGGGGGUAGGAGUGAAAUCCUGUAAUCCCCCCCGGGGGACCACCGAUGGCGAAGGCAUCUCACCAGAACGGCUCCGACAGUGAGGGACGAAAGCUGGGGGAGCGAACCGGAUUAGAUACCCGGGUAGUCCCAGCCGUAAACUAUGCGCGUUAGGUGUACUGGUGACCACGAGUCACUGGGGGGGUGCCGAAGGGAAACCGUGAAACGUGCCGCCUGGGAAGUACGGUCGCAAGGCUGAAACUUAAAGGAAUUGGCGGGGGGGGAGCACCACAACGGGUGGAGCCUGCGGUUUAAUUGGACUCAACGCCGGAAAUCUCACCGGAUAAGACAGCGGAAUGAUAACCGGGCUGAAGACUCUGUUUGACCAGCUGAGAGGAGGUGCAUGGCCGUCGUCAGUUCGUACUGUGAAGCAUCCUGUUAAGUCAGGCAACGAGCGAGACCCACGCCAACAGUUGCUAGCUUGUUCUCCGGAACGAAGAGGACACUGUUGGGACCGCCUCUGCUAAAGAGGAGGAAGGAAUGGGCAACGGUAGGUCAGCAUGCCCCCCCGAAUUAUCCGGGCUACACGCGGGCUACAAUGGGCAGGACAAUGGGUAUCGACACCGAAAGGUGAAGGCAAUCUCUUAAACCUGUCCUAAGUUCGGAUUGUGGGCUGUAACUCGCCCACAUGAAGCUGGAAUCCGUAGUAAUCGCGUUUCAACAUAGCGCGGUGAAUGCGUCCCUGCUCCUUGCACACACCGCCCGUCAAACCAUCCGAGUGAGGUCUGGAUGAGCCUGUGGUUUUUGCCGCAGUCGAAUCUAGGUUUCGCAAGGAGGGUUAAGUCGUAACAAGGUAGCCGUAGGGGAAUCUGCGGCUG